GGCAGGAUGCACGAGGAGACAGUGGGGCUGAUAAAAGGAUAAAACAACUGAGAAACACCAAGCUAGCGCACUACAUCGUAUGAAAAAUAAACUGUUAGCGCUUUACAUUACGGCAACUCACAGAAAAAAAGCAAAGCUGUAAACACAGAGCAGUACACACGUCUAACACAGAGGGGAAUAAACACAAAUACCAGCUCUGCUCAACACAUACAACACGUAGAGAAAUCUGAGUACAACACUUUCAGCUCAAAGGUCUGUUCUGUUCAAGUUCUUCUCUCCACUCCGGCUGAUGUGGACUGAUUCAGAGUUGGGCCAUCAUGAUCCCAGUGAACUUUCUGGUCACUCAUUGGCUGACCAACUUAAUACCAGCAGCAUCAUGUCGGUGAAUCCUCCGAGCAGCAAUGACGCCUGCCUCAGCAUCGUCCACAGCCUCAUGUGCCACCGGCAGGGCGGAGAGAACGAGGGCUUCGCCAAGCGCGCCAUCGAGAGCCUGGUGAAGAAGCUGAAGGAGAAGAAAGACGAGCUGGACUCGCUCAUCACCGCCAUCACCACCAACGGUGUCCAUCCCAGCAAGUGUGUCACCAUCCAGAGGACGCUGGACGGGCGGCUGCAGGUGGCAGGAAGGAAAGGUUUCCCUCAUGUGAUUUAUGCUCGGCUGUGGCGCUGGCCCGACCUCCACAAAAAUGAACUCAAGCACGUUAAGUUCUGCCAGUACGCCUUCGACCUGAAGUACGACAACGUGUGCGUCAACCCCUACCAUUAUGAGAGGGUGGUGUCACCAGGCAUCAUUGGUCUCAGCCUUCAAAAUACAGCACCACCAGGCGGGCUGAUCAAAGAAGAAUACAUCCAUGACUGUAUACAGAUGGACCUUCCACCUGGCAUGCCUCUGUCUGACCACCAAGUGGCCCUGAAGCUGCCUCCUCCAGACCACUACGGCCAGCCCCUCCCCCCUCCACAGCUGUCCUCUGAACCCCAUGGACCCCCACCUGUCACCAGAUACACUAACCUGCCUGUCUCACCCAAAGUGUCUGGCUCUGGCUCCAUGCUGCCCCUGCAGGCCGGUCACAGUGACAGCCGCCUCCAGACCGCAUCUCCUCAAGCUCAAGGCAUGACUCCAGCACCACGUCCCCCAACCCCAACCCAAACCCCUCCUCAGCAACAGGGUCCCCAACAACCCCAGCAGCCCCAACACCCACAACAACCCUCCCUCCCUCCUCCUCACGGCCACGGGCAGAACGGGUACAGCAGCAAUAAACACUCUCAGAGUCAGGCUGCCUUCCACACAGUUUGGACAGGCAGCAGUACAGCCUCCUACGCUCCAAUAGGACCCCUGCAGAAUGGACGUGGUCACCAACAACCUCCCCUCCAUCAUCCAAACCACCACUGGUCUCAGCAUCACGGUUCAACUUCUUUCCCUCCUUCUGUGUCCAAUCAUCCAGGACCAGAGUUUUGGUGCUCUAUCUCCUACUUUGAGAUGGACGUUCAGGUGGGUGAGAUGUUUAAGGUGCCCUCCAGCUGCCCCGUUGUGACUGUGGACGGUUACGUCGACCCGUCAGGAGGCGAUCGCUUCUGCCUGGGCCAGCUGAGUAACGUCCACCGCACAGACGCCAGUGAAAGAGCCAGGCUACACAUAGGUAAAGGAGUGCAGCUGGAGUGUCGUGGAGAAGGCGACGUGUGGAUGCGCUGUAUGAGUGACCACGCUGUGUUUGUACAGAGCUACUACCUCGACAGAGAGGCGGGCCGAGCACCAGGCGAUGCUGUGCACAAGAUCUACCCCGGAGCCUACAUCAAGGUGUUUGACCUGCGGCAGUGCCACAGACAGAUGCAGCAGCAGGCAGCGACGGCUCAGGCUGCAGCUGCUGCUCAGGCUGCUGCCGUGGCGGGAAACAUUCCUGGUCCAGGCAGCGUCGGAGGCAUCGCACCUGCAGUUAGUCUGUCUGCAGCAGCAGGGAUUGGCGUGGACGACCUGAGGCGACUGUGUAUCCUGCGGCUCAGCUUCGUGAAGGGCUGGGGGCCUGACUACCCCCGACAGAGCAUCAAACACACCCCCUGCUGGGUGGAGGUCCACCUGCACCGCGCUCUGCAGCUUCUGGAUGAGGUGUUGCACACUAUGCCUUUGGCAGAUCCAGGGCCUGCUAACUGAGGAUGAACACCAUGUUCAAAUUCCAAUCUGGAUCCUAUGAAUGGAAGUACAAGUGUUCGAGUAGGCGCUCUCAGAUAGUAAGCAAAUUCAUCAUCAUCAUCAUCAUCAUCAUCCUCAUCCUCCUCACCAUCAUCAGAUCUCUACAAUCAUAUCACUGCAGAUCAUAUCGGCUCCAUGAUGUGUCCAGAAAUGCUUUGCAGUUAAAACACCUGUAUGUUCCUCACUGUGUAUCAAAGACUGAUGGAACCAUGCAGAGAAAGUUCCACACAACUCAAACCAGCCUUCAACUUCAUCACAGCUGUUUGACUGGAUGAAGUUUGGUACUGUCCAGUGUGUCAGAGUUAAAGACUGAUGUUACUGCUGCUUCUUCAUACGGGACCAUCAUUAAAUAUGCAUUUAUUCUUCAGUUUUUAUUGGUCAGUUUAUUCUUUUUUAAAUGUUGUUGCAUGCUGUCUGUAUACAGUCUUUGCAUUUUUGUGUGUUCAGCUGAAUGAAUUGGAAGUGUACCAACUCAACAAUGUCUGUUUUUAUUGAAAUGAACACCCACUACACCAAGAAAACUGUUGAGGAGAUUAAUAGUUAAAGGAAUUGUUGAGCUUAUCAUCAUUUUCCAGAACUAGUGCUGGUUUCCUUGAGAGCUCAGCAGGGCUGGAUCAGUACUCCCAGGGGCCCCUGGGACCUGAAACUCAUGCUCAAUCCACUAGUUGAUCAUUUUCCCCACAAACCUAACCACAGCACAUUAUGGCCUGCUAACCAAUCAUCAAUUAAAUCAAUUAUCAAUCUAUCCAUUUUUAUGUAUAUAGCGCCAAAUCACAACAAAAGUCAUCUUAAAGUACAAUCAUCACUUACCCAGCUAUCAAAUUGACACAUAGAACAGUUAAUCAUGUUACUUAUUUUACUGGAAACAGCUUUUAUUUCAUUCUGAUUGGAUGACGCUGCUGUCAGGUAGAAACCUUGUAACUCCAUGUAUUGUUUUGGACAAACUAGGUUUCCAAUAGCAACGAUAACUAUCAGCAUCAAAAGAAUGACUCAAGCUUUGUGUCACACAUCUGACAGCUCAACACACAGGACCUGCACCUGGUUUGAAUGUGCUGCUGCAUUAUAACACACACACACACACACUCUCUCUCCUCUACACCUCCUCCACUCCCAGCCAGACAAUUCACAGAAAUCACAUUUGGCCCAGACUCUCUGGAGGAAGAUGAACAAAACAAGUCAUGGUCCACUAAAUAAAAUAAUAUUUAAUAAAAGCUUUUUUUUUCCCAGACAGAAUUCAGUUCAUCAGUGGAUGGAGUUUGCUCAGACAGACAUUCUACUAGAAACAGUGAUAGUCAGACAUCAGAGAAAUCUCCUCCAUCUGCUUAAAAGCUCUGAGAGAAGACUGGUUUUGUCAAUCCCAUUUCUUGAAUAUGAUUGUUUGAUUAAACCCACUGUUUCUACACCAUCAUCAUACCACUCAGAGGAAAUAUUAUAGUAAUCAGUUCUGCUGUUCAGCUGCAUUAUUUUUCUCCACACAGCCUUACCAUAGACUGUAACAGUCCAUACAUACACACAUUACAUAUCUCUUCUCUGCUGCAUUCUGGGUAGAAUGUUGGCAGUAUUUGAUGUGACACACAGGGAGCUGCUUGUGCUCCAGAGAAGAACACAGAAAGCUGGAUAAAUAUUCUGCACAUGUUGAAGAGGGAGUUCAACUAGCAGACAGGGUGUGAUGGAAAAUGGAAAAAGUUUGUUUGUUACAUAUUGGGGAAAAAAUUGAAUUGGUACCACAAUUUUCAAAAACAGGUUUGGGUUAAAUAUUCAAAUAUGUAAUUUAUUUAUUGUCAUGUCUUACAGUGUGAUGUAGAGGGACAACAUGUAAAACAUUUCUGGACAAAGUCUGAUUUCAACACAUAGAAAAAUCCACCAAUGAUCCAUUUAUCAUUCAUCACUGAUCUGUUUUAAUGUCCUUUGUGAAUUUUGUUCAGUGUCCUAAUGCUGACACAAGCAGAAAACAUCUCUACAUCAUCCCAUUCAUAAAACAUGACACAUUUAUUCUGACACUUGAUAUAGAAAAUAUGUACUAAAGAAUUUCAUUUGGCUAGAGUAUUGUUUUUGUUUUGUUUUUUUAAAUCUUGUAGUUAUUUUAUUGUAAAUAUGUGCUGCUCUUGUAAUGUGGACUGUAUAUUCAAAUAAAAUAAACAUGACA